CGCCUCUUGCCAAACUUUAACGAAUAAGAGGUCCUGCCUGCCCCCUGACCAUGUAGUUUAACGGCCGCGGUAUUUUAACCGUGCAAAGGUAGCGUAAUCAUUUGUCUUUUAAAUAAAGACCCGUAUGAACGGCAACACGAGGGCUUGACUGUCUCCUUUUUCAAGUCAAUGAAAUUGAUUUUUCCGUGCAGAAGCGGGAAUUUUUACAUAAGACGAGAAGACCCUGUGGAGCUUUAGACACCAAGACAGACUAUGUAAAAACAGCCCUUUAUUAAAAGACCGAACAAAUUUUACCUGCCCUAAUGUCUUCGGUUGGGGCGACCCUGGGGAGUUACAAAACCCCCACGUGGAAUGGAAGCGACCAACUUUAUGCUACCACAACCGAGAGCUUCCCCUCAAAUUAACAGAAUUUCUGACCAAACAUGAUCCGGCAACGCCGAUUAACGAACCAAGUUACCCCAGGGAUAACAGCGCAAUCCUCUUUUAGAGCCCAUAUCGACAAGAAGGUUUACGACCUCGAUGUUGGAUCAGGACAUCCUAAUGGUGCAACCGCUAUUAAGGGUUCGUUUGUUCAACGAUUAAAGUCCU
rnacentral:rRNA from 1 species